rnacentral:rRNA from 1 species
GACCCAGACUCCUACGGGAGGCAGCAGUGGGGAAUAUUGCACAAUGGGGGAAACCCUGAUGCAGCAACGCCGCGUGAGUGAUGACGGCCUUCGGGUUGUAAAGCUCUGUCUUCAGGGACGAUAAUGACGGUACCUGAGGAAGAAGCCCCGGCUAACUACGUGCCAGCAGCCGCGGUAAUACGUAGGGAGCGAGCGUUGUCCGGAAUUACUGGGUGUAAAGGGAGCGUAGGCGGGGAUGCAAGUUGGGUGUUAAAUCUACCGGCUCAACUGGUAGUCGCACUCAAAACUGCAGCUCUUGAGUGAAGUAGAGGCAGGCGGAAUUCCUAGUGUAGCGGUGAAAUGCGUAGAUAUUAGGAGGAACACCAGUGGCGAAGGCGGCCUGCUGGGCUUUUACUGACGCUGAGGCUCGAAAGUGUGGGGAGCAAACAGGAUUAGAUACCCUUGUAG